UACAGAGGGUGCGAGCGUUGUUCGGAAUUAUUGGGCGUAAAGCGCUUGUAGGCGGCACGUCAAGUCGCGUGUGAAAUCCCCAGGCUUAACCUGGGAAGUGCGCGCGAAACUGACGAGCUUGAGUGCCGGAGAGGGUCGCGGAAUUCCCGGUGUAGAGGUGAAAUUCGUAGAUAUCGGGAGGAACACCAGUGGCGAAGGCGGCGACCUGGACGGACACUGACGCUGGGGACGCGAAAGCGUGGGGAGCAAACAGG
rnacentral:rRNA from 1 species